AGUGUUUAGUGUCGUUGCUGCUGUUUUUAAAUAGUUGUCACUGUUGAUGGAAUGAGUAAACAUGCUUUAUAUAGGAGAAAACUUCAUAAAAGCUUAUUGAUUUUGCUAUAAUAAUUUACAUGUAUACCAGAAAGAGUGGCAUGAUAGUGGUCUUGUAACCAUAUCAUAUUGAAAAGAAUUAAUUGUCAGCAAAUGUUAGUUCUGUUUGUUGGAGUGGAACUUAACCAUUAUACCUUGGCAAUAGCAUAAUAUAUUCGUAAGAUACCAACCUUACCAAAUAUCAAAUGGGCCAGUGUUGUGCCGGACCCAUAUUGACUCCAGUAGAAAUGGCAGUCAAGUGGCAGCAUGCUACACAGGAGAACUGCUACCAUUUAUAUACACCAUGCAGUUUAUAUAGCAUUUUCACUUAGCACCCUCUACCUAGCAACCUCCUCCACUUAACCCAGAAGAAAGGGCCUCCAUCCCCUGUGGAGAUCCCCUGUGUGGCCUUCCAAGGGAUGGGCUGGGGAUUCAGAUGUCCUUCAUAGCUGAGGAGUGAAACUCUAGAUCAGCUACUGCCCUCAGAUUCCUUAGCUCAGGACUCCAGUUACACAUUCUUCUUAGACUAUAGGUUCAUUUUCAGAAUAUGCUUAAGUUACUGCUGUCAGCUGCAUCUGUCAUACAGCCAGCUUUUAGCUCCUUUCUUCCCAUCUCUUCCCCCUUCCCCUUUUUUUCCUUUAGAAAUAACAUUUGC